rnacentral:lncRNA from 7 species
GGAGUACAGAUAUUUUUAUUUGCUUGGCUGCAAAAUACUUAUUCCAUGUCAGCUUAUGGUGACUUGGCAUUGCUCAGUCAUGCCCAAAAGGAGCAAACUGUGACACAGCUGGGGACCAGAGGAACCUUUAACUGCCCCUAUGAGCUGCAGAGUUUCCUUGCUGAGGGCCUAAGCACAGGGCAGCUUCACGCAACAUUUUCUUUCAAGAGGUUGUGACUGAGCCGGCAGAACUGCUCUGCAAAAGUCUACUGCAAAUUUUGAUAGCUUAAGGAUUUUGGAGGACUGAGGGGAUGGCCCUGGGAACAAAUUUCCCCACAGCCCCUGCAUAUCGUGAAGCAGUGGGAACACAAAUGGUGUCUGGAGAGAAACACACAAAAUAGCAGAGGUAACAUAUCCCCAUGGAAGGAAAUACGGAAAGAACAAGAAAAAAAUUAAAUACUUCUCCCAGGAAAAAUGUUUUGUAGAAAAAAGCAUCCUAAAUAUCUUCUGAAAACUUUCUUCCUCAUCUGAACAGAAGUAGAAUCUUUACAUUAAUAUAAUCAGGAAAUGUGUAUUAUUAUUAUUAUUUUUUUUUUACGUUACAAUAUUUCUCUUCAUUUUGAGCAGAGUUGCAGUCCUAAAAGUUGUCUUACAAUAAAGAAAUUGCUGUUUUUGUCACACAGAGUUCAUGAACCUUCACUGCCUUUUUACUGCCUUUUCUGUGCCAGAAUGGCCUUUCCAGAGAUUUUCAGUUGUCUGAGAAGUACAGUCAUGCUUUGUCUCCUUUGUUUUCUGCUAUUUUCUGUGCUUUCAUUAGAGCUUGAAGCUGGCAGAUAGCACAAAUCUCAGUGCUAAACCACUGAAUCUACAGAAGAAUGGAACACAUCUCAGCACCUUUAAGUCCUUGCUCUGAUUCCUAGUCAGUUGUUCUCGUUCUGUCGAAAGAGUCAAAAAAGACAUUUGUGCUCCCACUGUUUGUUUCCUCUGUUUCUUUAAUUUGGUGGGACUAUGUGGACAUAUGGAGGAACACAUUUUCUGAAUGAAGGAUUUCAGAGAAUAGAGGAACCAGACUCCGGAAUCACAGCAAGUGCAGCCUUGAUUAGCUGAUAAGAGCAAGGCUUCUUUGAAGAGGAAUACGUAGAUUUCUUCUCUCUCCACUGAUAACGAGUUCUCAUCCAGUUCUGCUUUGAUCACUCAGCUUGUUUUCAGUAAUGAAAUGGUAAAUGGACUUAAAUUUCUUGGGCGCUAACUUGGGGUACCGGUUCAAACUCAGAGUUAUAAAGAAAGGUAAGGUUUCGUUUUAUUUGCUUAGCUGAGGUAAAAUCUCAAUGUUUUUCUUAUCUAAAUGGAAGAGACCCCGGCCAAUAAUUGGCUCUUCAACAGAAAGCUGUAACUUCAAACUGAUCUCAUAUUUCUUUCUGAUGUUCCAUCUGCUGUCUGGUUGACAUUCCCCAUUCAGAUGCUGAGGACGUAGGUCAGGUAAGUAACAGAGCUUGGAAACUGAAGCACCAGAAGAUGAUAUGAAUAAAUGCUGCACUUUCUGGCGAGUGUAAAUUCUUUCAAAUGUGAUAAAGAAAUCGAAAUACAGAUCCACGUUCUUCUUUCCACUGGCCAUGCACCUCCAUAUCCACACAGCUUCAAACCACAGAACACUGCCUGUGUCUUCUGGAUACGUGCAUUUUUCAGCGUAUCACUUACUGGCUAAGGGUAAUUUGGUAUUCACAGAUGAAUUUGACAUCAGAAAAGAGGGAUCUGGAGGAGCUACUCUACCGGCGGUGCUUUAUCAGGGUUAUCAGAAGCUUUCAUGGACUAAGUUUCAAGGUGCAGGCUGUAUGUGGGGCCUAGUGCCAAACAAGAUGUUCUGAAUGUGUGCAACAUUUCUUGAGGCCAUGCUAUUAUAAAUUCCAACGAUCUUCAUCUCUGGAAAAGUUAGCAAGCAAAUGUUGUACUGAAUGAAUAAAGACAUAGUCAGAGAAAGAUUUCUUGGUGACCAUUUUGGUCUUCUAAUUCUCUUCAUUACUUGCCAUUUUUUUUUCUUCUCAAGAAGAUAGCAAAGGUAGGAGAAUGCUCAUCCUUACUGAUCAGCAGCUAUUCAGCAGGCAUUAAACAAU